rnacentral:lncRNA from 1 species
ACAUUCUGUUUUGGAGUUGUAGAGUUAGUACCAGCUUGGGACACAAGCUUGGAGGUGGACUAUUUGGGAAAGCAGUGAGCUGAAGCCAAUGUGAUGGAGCAGAGGGCUCUGAAAAAAAUGGUGGAAUCCAUCAGGAAAACUGUCAAGAGCUGUAAGUACUCAGCAGCUUCCUGACACUGCCUCAGCGCCUUGAUUCAGUGAGAGGUCGGUCGAUGGAUUAGUCAGGAUUGAUUGGACAUCAGCGAGUGCUCUGGAACCAUACACGAAGAGUCGGUUUCUAGUGGUUUUGGUCACACCUUUAAUCCCAGCACUUGGGAGGCAGAGGCUGGUGAAUUUCUGAGUUUGAGGUCAGCCUGGCCUACAGAGUGAGUUCCAAGAAACCCUGUCUCAGAAAAAAAAGAGAGAGAGAGAGAGAAAUAUAUAUACAGCUACACAUGGUGGCCAUGCCUUGAUUUCCAGCACUCAGGAGGCAAAAGCAGGUGGAUCUCUGAGUACACGACCAGCCUGGUCUACAUAGUGAGUUCCAGGACAGCCAGAGCUACAUAGUGAGGCCCUGUCUCAAAAAAGGGGUGGGGAGUGGUGGUAAAGGCUGAAGAGAUGGCUUGGUACAUAAGGACCUGCUACAUAGCCUGAUAAACCUGAGUUCAGUCUCAAAGUGGGAGGGUGGCUCACACCAGCAUUUCCAGCACUUAAGAGGGGAGACACAGAGGAUCAGAAGUUGAAAGUCAUCCUCCAUUAUAUGGAGUUCAAGGCAAACCUGAGCUACAAGAGAUAAGCAGUAAAAAUUCAAAUCUAAUAGAAGGAUCUAUCUAUACACUAUCAGUAUAACCAGAAGUCUCUGUAGAGACAUUCUGCUACCUAGAUGAAGGGAAGUCCUUAGAGGACAGACCAAUCAAACUUUCACUCCAAUAUUAAGAUAUACUGACUUAGUGUUGUGGCUUUGAAGUGACGGGCCUCCCCUACAGAAGUGUUAUAGCUCUGCUCCAGCAGGGAGAGGUUCCCCCAGUGAAAAAGCUUGGUAUCCUGGCAGUUGGGAGCCAGUGAUGACCACAAAGUCACACUGCAUAGCAAGCCUCACAUGAGAUUUAUUGGGAGGGAAAAACCCAGGAGGGUGGCUGCCUCUGCUUGGGCAACAGGGAACUAAGCAGAGGCAGAGUUUUGUCUAGGAUUUCUUUCAUGGUGGGGGAAUAGAUUUCCUUUAUAUAUAUAUAUAUAUGGGGAACAGAUUUACAUGCAACUGUCAAAGAACAGAAACAAACAUUGGCAUCCCUGAUGGAGCACAACUUGCAGGCAGUGAGACAGUCCCUUCCCAAGUACCUGUUAGCACUUACAAAACCCUGGGGAAGGGUUUAAAAGCACAGGUUUCAGGAGCUUCCUCCAGACUUCUACUUCCCGAACUUUGUCAGUUUCAUUUACUUCCUUGGUUUGAAUGACCACCCCUCCAAGAGGGAAUGGCUCAGGUCAGAGGAAAUAGCAGUGUGACCGUUGACAACUGAAAUUGCCCUCCCAUCAUAGGGCCUCAUUUUCACUGCACUGGUGGAAACAGUCAUAAAAAUCUCACUGUAUUCCUUUAUUUUUCUGAGCCUAGAGUGUUAAUGUGUAGCCAUAACUGGCCUGAAACUCACUCUGUAGACCAGCCUGGCCAUCAACUCAGAGAGAUGCACCUGCUUCUAUCUUCUGAGUGCUGGGAUGAAAAUGGCCACACCAGGCAAAUCCCACUGGUUUUAAAGGAAGGCUUCUUAGACCUCAUUUCUCUAGUGAAAAUCAAAGUCACAUGGCUGGAGGCAACAACCCAUGCCUAUUACACUUGUACCUGGGAGAGUGAGGCAGUAGAUCGAGAAUUGCAGGCCACCCUGGACUACAUGGUGAAACCUUGUC